rnacentral:rRNA from 1 species
UUCUAACGUGGACCCGUGAUCCGGGUUGCGGACAGUGUCUGGUGGGUAGUUUGACUGGGGCGGUCUCCUCCUAAAGAGUAACGGAGGAGCACGAAGGUUGGCUAAUCCUGGUCGGACAUCAGGAGGUUAGUGCAAUGGCAUAAGCCAGCUUGACUGCGAGCGUGACGGCGCGAGCAGGUGCGAAAGCAGGUCAUAGUGAUCCGGUGGUUCUGAAUGGAAGGGCCAUCGCUCAACGGAUAAAAGGUACUCCGGGGAUAACAGGCUGAUACCGCCCAAGAGUUCAUAUCGACGGCGGUGUUUGGCACCUCGAUGUCGGCUCAUCACAUCCUGGGGCUGAAGUAGGUCCCAAGGGUAUGGCUGUUCGCCAUUUAAAGUGGUACGCGAGCUGGGUUUAGAACGUCGUGAGACAGUUCGGUCCCUAUCUGCCGUGGGCGCUGGAGAACUGAGGGGGGCUGCUCCUAGUACGAGAGGACCGGAGUGGACGCAUCACUGGUGUUCGGG